rnacentral:rRNA from 1 species
UACGUAGGGUGCAAGCGUUAAUCGGAAUACUGGCGGUAAAGACGUGCGCAGGCGGUUGUGUAAGAACAGGCGUGAAAUCCCCGGGACCGUCAAACCUGGGGAAUGGCCGCUUGUGACUGCACAACUGGAGUGCGGCAGAGGGGGAUGGAAUUCCGCGUGUAGCAGUGAAAUGCGUAGAUAUGCGGAGGAACACCGAUGGCGAAGGCAAUCCCCUGGGCCUGCACUGACGCUCAUGCACGAAAGCGUGGGGAGCAAACAGGAUUAGAUACCCCCGUAGUCC